rnacentral:RNase_P_RNA from 1 species
AGUCGGCCGGGCAACCGCGGUGACAUCAGUCACGGAGGAAAGUCCGGGCUCCACAGGGCAGGGUGCCAGGUAACGCCUGGGAGGCGCGAGCCUACGGAAAGUGCCACAGAAAAUAUACCGCCUGUGCUCGCACAGGUAAGGGUGAAAUGGUGCGGUAAGAGCGCACCGCGCGGCUGGCAACAGCCGUGGCAGGGUAAACCCCACCCGGAGCAAGACCAAAUAGGGGAACAUUGGCGUGGCCCGCGUCGUUCCCGGGUAGGUCGCUUGAGGUGCAUGGCGACGUGCAUCCCAGAUGAAUGGUUGUCCACGACAGAACCCGGCUUACAGGCCGACUUC